rnacentral:tRNA from 1 species
GUGCCUGUGAUGAAACUGGCAGACAUCUCAGACUUAAAAUCUGAGGCUUUUAGCGUGGGAGUUCGAUUCUCCCCAGGCACA